GAUGAACGCUGGCGGCGUGCCUUAUACAUGCAAGUCGAGCGAACAGACGAGGAGCUUGCUCCUUUGACGUUAGCGGCGGACGGGUGAGUAACACGUGGGUAACCUACCUAUAAGACUGGGAUAACUUCGGGAAACCGGAGCUAAUACCGGAUAAUAUUUCGAACCGCAUGGUUCGAUAGUGAAAGAUGGCUUUGCUAUCACUUAUAGAUGGACCUGCGCCGUAUUAGCUAGUUGGUAAGGUAACGGCUUACCAAGGCAACGAUACGUAGCCGACCUGAGAGGGUGAUCGGCCACACUGGAACUGAGACACGGUCCAGACUCCUACGGGAGGCAGCAGUAGGGAAUCUUCCGCAAUGGGCGAAAGCCUGACGGAGCAACGCCGCGUGAGUGAUGAAGGUCUUCGGAUCGUAAAACUCUGUUAUUAGGGAAGAACAAACGUGUAAGUAACUGUGCACGUCUUGACGGUACCUAAUCAGAAAGCCACGGCUAACUACGUG
rnacentral:rRNA from 1 species